rnacentral:RNase_P_RNA from 1 species
CCAGAGGGCCGGGCGGCCGCGACUCCUGCUUGCAGGGGGCGAGGAAAGUCCGGGCUCCACGGAACAACGGUGCCGGGUAACGCCCGGCGGGCGGCGCAAGCGGCUCAGGGAAAGUGCCACAGAAAGCAUACCGCCCGUCCUUGGACGGGUAAGGUCGAAAGGGUGCGGCAAGAGCGCACCGCGCGGCUGGCAACAGGCGCGGCACGGUAAACCCCACUGGGUGCAAAACCGAAUAGGGGCGGCAGAUGGGCCUGUUCCGGCUCGCCGCCCGGGUUGGUUGCUUGAGGCGUGGGGCGACCCACGCCCUAGAGGAAUGGUCGCACAGGCAUCGCAAGAUGCUGGACAGAACCCGGCUUAUAGGCCCUCUGGCAUU